GAUUUCAAGUGAAAAAAUCAUCUACAACAAAGUUGUAUAACUCAUCAAGAUCUAUAACUUUUAUUUUAGUCAUUUUUUCAUCCGACAAAACGAUAGUAACAUUAUUCACAAAAUUUACAUAUCUCUCAUUUGGUUUAUAAACUAUAAGAGAGAUAUAUAAAUUUUAUGAACAAUGUUACUAUCACUUUGUCGAAUGAAGAAAUGACCAAAAAUAAAAGUUAUAUGUCUUGAUGAGUUCUACAACUUUUAUGUUCAUGACUUUUUCAGCUGAAAUU
rnacentral:pre_miRNA from 1 species